GUAUAUAGAAUAGCGAAUCAAUUUACACUGGCUUUCUGAAAUUUAUAGGUACUCCUUUCUGAAAUUUCUAGGUACUCUACUCAGUGUUUCCUUUCAGUCAUUCUAAGUGUUAUCUCAAAUAAAAAAUGACAUAACCCAAGAUGAUGUCAGAUACUUCAAUGGUUAACAAUCCAGUGAUGAAGCAGCAAGAUAUCCCAGAUGAGCAUUUUCUUUUUUAAUUUUCCUGCCAGUAAAACUUAUCAUAAUAAGGCUAUUUAUUUAUUUAUUUAUUUAACUAGGCUGUUUCUGUAGUUUUUCUGUGAUGUGUGAGCUUGUGGUUACACAUAUGGGUGUCUAUCAAUAUCAGCACAUUUCUACUUUCUUCAUUCACAUAGCGUGAAUCCAUUUUUAUUUUUAUUUUUUUGCUUUAAGUGUUGAGUUUUGUAUGACUGAAGAGUUUAAUUUAUGUUAAAAGAGCUAUUCAAGGGCUUUGAGAACAGGAGUAAUUGUCUCUCAUUUGAAGUUGAGGAAAUAAAAGAGACGGUAAUAAUUAUAUGAUGAAAUUGAAAGAAUAACAAUGCUGGGGAGAAAUUGCCCAUCUACAAAACAAGAGAUAAAAUAGUGGAUGUCUCAACAGUAUUUUGAGAAACAGAUCUACAAUUCCAAGAGUCAGUUCAUCAGAAGUUUCUAUGAUGAGUCUAUUUACCCCUUAAAAUAACUAAAAGGAGUUACAGUUGUCUUUCAUCUGCGCACUUAGAACAAUGGCAGGUGGUUUCAUUACCUUCCUAAACAUAAUAUAUUUUACUUUACCUCUACAGUAUUGACCUAUUUAGCUACCUGAAUGUAGCAUCCUUUUUUUUCCCUACAGAGAGGGGUAUACUCUGAGUUCUCUGUUAUAAACUUCCUACUAGAAAUAUUUCUGAUAUAAAGCACUGCUUGUGGGAGUAGAGCAACAGUCUGUGAAUUACCAUUCUGCUGUGUUCCAGUAUGAUUCCUACAGGAGCUGUCAUCUCAGGCUCAGACCUGUGGGACAGCAACAUCUGCUGAUGCCAGAGGCAGGAAGAAGUGUGGAUCUGAUAUUUGCUUACUGGAAGAGAUUUAAAUUUCACAGCUGCUGAGAUCUUCUAAACUGUUGCACUAAAACAAUGCAUUCAUAUUCUUACCCCAAGAUUCCAUUCACAAAGCCACAGAGUUGGGACAAAAGAGUGGAAAAACACAAAAAAUUGAGUUGACUUUCAUUCAUGAGGACAGUAAAGGUUCUAAACAUUUAUUGAUUUCUCAUUGCCAUAAGAUGUUACUUGUAGCAUGCCAAAAAUAGUAUUGUUUGUCCUCUCUGUGUUAAGAUGUUUUCUCUGAAAUAUUUAUAUAUACGUUGGCUUCAGGGAGAACUUUGUUGAGGACCCUGUGAUGAUGAAGAGUGCAGAGAGGAUCUUUUAUAACAGUAUCUCUAUUUGGACU
rnacentral:lncRNA from 1 species